CAGCCGCCGCGGUAAUACGUAGGGUGCAAGCGUUAAUCGGAAUUACUGGGCGUAAAGCGUGCGCAGGCGGUUAUAUAAGUCAGAUGUGAAAUCCCCGGGCUCAACCUGGGAACUGCAUUUGAGGCUGUAUGGCUAGAGUGUGUCAGAGGGGGGUAGAAUUCCACGUGUAGCAGUGAAAUGCGUAGAUAUGUGGAGGAAUACCGAUGGCGAAGGCAGCCCCCUGGGAUAACACUGACGCUCAUGCACGAAAGCGUGGGGAGCAAACAGGAUUAGAUACCCCCGUAGUCCCUGUCUCUUAUAC
rnacentral:rRNA from 1 species